CACGUAGGGGACGAGCGUUGUCCGGAUUCAUUGGGCGUAAAGCGCGUGUAGGCGGCUUCGUAAGUCCGUUGUGAAAGUCCAGGGCUCAACCCUGGAAUGCCGAUGGAUACUGCGGAGCUAGAGUCCGGAAGAGGCGAGUGGAAUUCCUGGUGUAGCGGUGAAAUGCGCAGAUAUCAGGAGGAACACCAAUGGCGAAGGCAGCUCGCUGGGACGGUACUGACGCUGAGACGCGAAAGCGUGGGGAGCAAACAGG
rnacentral:rRNA from 1 species